GGCGGCGUGGAUUAGGCAUGCAAGUCGAGCGCGAACCCGCAAGGGGGAGAGCGGCGAACGGGGUAGUAACGGGUAGGUGACGUACCCUCGGGUUGGGAUAGCCACGGGAAACUGUGGGUAAUACCCAAUAAUCUCCUGGAGUGUGAUGACUUCGGGAGCAAAGGUGUGAUUCCACCGGAGGAGCGGCCUGCUUCGUAUUAGCUAGUUGGUGAGGUAACGGCUCACCAAGGCUUCGAUGCGUAGGGGGGUGUGAGAGCAUGACCCCCACCACUGGGACUGAGAUACUGCCCAGACACCUACGGGUGGCUGCAGUCGAGAAUCUUCGGCAAUGGGCGCAAGCCUGACCGAGCGACGCCGCGUGUGGGAUGAAGGCCCUUGGGUUGUAAACCACUGUCAGAGGGGAUGAAGUGCCAGAGAGCUAUCUCUCUGGUUUGACAUAGCCUCAGAGGAAGCACGGGCUAAGUUCGUG
rnacentral:rRNA from 1 species